AGAGUUUGAUCCUGGCUCAGGAUGAACGCUAGCGGCAGGCUUAACACAUGCAAGUCGAGGGGUAUAUGUCUUCGGAUAUAGAGACCGGCGCACGGGUGCGUAACGCGUAUGCAAUCUACCUUUUACAGGGGAAUAGCCCAGAGAAAUUUGGAUUAAUGCCCCAUAGUAUAAUUGAAUGGCAUCAUUUAAUUAUUAAAGUCACAACGGUAAAAGAUGAGCAUGCGUCCCAUUAGUUAGUUGGUAAGGUAACGGCUUACCAAGACAAUGAUGGGUAGGGGUCCUGAGAGGGAGAUCCCCCACACUGGUACUGAGACACGGACCAGACUCCUACGGGAGGCAGCAGUGAGGAAUAUUGGACAAUGGGCGCAAGCCUGAUCCAGCCAUGCCGCGUGCAGGAAGACGGUCCUAUGGAUUGUAAACUGCUUUUGUACAGGAAGAAACACUCCUACGUGUAGGAACUUGACGGUACUGUAAGAAUAAGGAUCGGCUAACUCCGUGCCAGCAGCCGCGGUAAUACGGAGGAUCCAAGCGUUAUCCGGAAUCAUUGGGUUUAAAGGGUCCGUAGGCGGUCUAAUAAGUCAGUGGUGAAAGCCCAUCGCUCAACGAUGGAACGGCCAUUGAUACUGUUAGACUUGAAUUAUAAGGAAGUAACUAGAAUAUGUAGUGUAGCGGUGAAAUGCUUAGAUAUUACAUGGAAUACCAAUUGCGAAGGCAGGUUACUACUUAUGGAUUGACGCUGAUGGACGAAAGCGUGGGGAGCGAACAGGAUUAGAUACCCUGGUAGUCCACGCCGUAAACGAUGGAUACUAGCUGUUGGAAGCAAUUUCAGUGGCUAAGCGAAAGUGAUAAGUAUCCCACCUGGGGAGUACG
rnacentral:rRNA from 1 species